rnacentral:other from 5 species
AGGGGUCUGUGCUAUGCGUUAUGAGUUAAGUUAAAUUUCCCGAGCGAUAAUUUCUAGAGAAGGGAAUUGCCUCUGCUGGUUUCGUUGAAACUAAUAUGCGAUGCCCACCUUAACUUCAGGUCUCAGGAAUCUACUAAGGCUGACGGUAGAUACGGAUCCUUU